rnacentral:rRNA from 1 species
AUUGAACGCUGGCGGCAUGCUUUACACAUGCAAGUCGAACGGUAACAGGUCUUUCGGGAUGCUGACGAGUGGCGAACGGGUGAGUAAUGUAUCGGAACGUGCCCAGUAGUGGGGGAUAACUACUCGAAAGAGUGGCUAAUACCGCAUGAGAUCUCUGGAUGAAAGCGGGGGACCGUAAGGCCUCGCGCUACUGGAGCGGCCGAUAUCAGAUUAGGUAGUUGGUAGGGUAAGAGCCUACCAAGCCAACGAUCUGUAGCUGGUCUGAGAGGACGACCAGCCACACUGGGACUGAGACACGGCCCAGACUCCUACGGGAGGCAGCAGUGGGGAAUUUUGGACAAUGGGCGCAAGCCUGAUCCAGCAAUGCCGCGUGCAGGACGAAGGCCUUCGGGUUGUAAACUGCUUUUGUACGGAACGAAAAGACUUCUGGUUAAUACCUGGGAGUCAUGACGGUACGUAAGAAUAAAGCACCGGCUAACUAACGUGCCAGC